rnacentral:rRNA from 1 species
CAUGUAGGCGGUUUCGUAAGCCUGGUGUGAAAUCCUGCAGCUUAACUGUAGAAUUGCAUUGGGUACUGCGAGACUUGAAUCACGGAGGGGAAACUAGAAUUCCAGGUGUAGGGGUGGAAUCUGUAGAUAUCUGGAAGAAUACCGGUGGCGAAGGCGGGUUUCUAGCCGAUGAUUGACGCUGAGGUGCGAAAGUGCGGGGAGCAAACA